rnacentral:lncRNA from 1 species
AUGAGACUUUUAUUUUCAUUAUAUGCAAAAAUGGAAAUGAAUCGAAGCAAGUCUGACAAAUACCGUACUUCAAAUUACUGGUGCCUCAGUGGCUCACUACAACAUUUGCUGUCUAAGAAUAGAAUUGUUACAAAGAUCCUUGCUACAGAGAAGAUCUUGAUUCAUACUGGCUUUAGCCACCACACAGGGAAUUACUUUUGA